AAUAGAUACCCGGGUAGUCCACGCCGUAAACGAUGAGUGCUAAGUGUUAGGGGGUUUCCGCCCCUUAGUGCUGCAGCUAACGCAUUAAGCACUCCGCCUGGGGAGUACGGCCGCAAGGCUGAAACUCAAAGGAAUUGACGGGGGCCCGCACAAGCGGUGGAGCAUGUGGUUUAAUUCGAAGCAACGCGAAGAACCUUACCAGGUCUUGACAUCCUCUGACACUCCUAGAGAUAGGACGUUCCCCUUCGGGGGACAGAGUGACAGGUGGUGCAUGGUUGUCGCCAGCUCGUGUCGUGAGAUGUUGGGUUAAGUCCCGCAACGAGCGCAACCCUUGAUCUUAGUUGCCAGCAUUUAGUUGGGCACUCUAAGGUGACUGCCGGUGACAAACCGGAGGAAGGUGGGGGAUGACGUCAAAUCAUCAUGCCCCCUUAUGACCUGGGCUACACACGUGCUACAAUGGAUGGUACAAAGGGCUGCAAGACCGCGAGGUUUAGCCAAUCCCAUAAAACCAUUCUCAGUUCGGAUUGUAGG
rnacentral:rRNA from 1 species